CAUAUCCCAUUUUAUUUACACCCGAAGUGGAAUUCCAAAAAACCCUUGAAAACGACAUUACACCAAUAAAUAAAUCAAAGUUAAGAUGUUAGAACAGUGAAGUUCAACUUCAACACUUUCGAAAGACGAGAAGUCGAAACGGGUUUCUCUAUUGUUCUCCUCACUGACAUGUGGGUGCUCAAGUGCUAUAGUCCCUGCUUUGCCAAGCUUCUCGGACUGCUCCCAUGGAUGGUAGUAAAGAAAACGAGUUCUAUUUGUGUAUAUCGUCCUUCCUUUUUGCGUCCCAAGCAACCAGUGCCUCCUUUCUCCACACUCGAAGCAACUGUCUCUUCCUCCGGCGCUUUCUCUCUCCCUCUCACUCAUACUCUCGUUCUCCAGUCUCUCCAUAGAAGAGGCGUGUCAGGUUUCGCCCACCGCGCCAUGGGAUCGGGAUCGUGCUGCUGCAUAGGGUGCAACGGCGGCGGCGGCGACGAGGGCGGAGUUGACGCCGGCGGCGGCCUCGACCCCAAGGGGUUCCUGCUGGCGAUGAUGAUUGCCCUGGUGCUUCUAAUGCUCUGCCACGUACGCCCGCCUCGCCGGAACUCGUACGUCGUGUACCGCAGCUACUGAUCGCCGACGGGUGCCAAGCUGAAAGUGGCGCGCGCGCAAUUGGCUGGGUUUUUAAUAUUAUAUAGCAGUAGUAUAACAUAGCGUAUGUUUUUAGAGGGGGGGGGGGGGGGGGGGGGGGGGGAUCAGUAGUACACGUUUGAUGUGAAUGAUGUACCCAACUGAAAGAGAGAUUGCACAGCGAACCUUUGCGUCUGUUCUUGGCCGGACAGGAUAAUUUUCAAUUUCCUCGACCCAUCACUUGUUCUGUCUUCUCUUCAUGUAAAUAUUGUCGAUAUCAGCAGCAAGAUAAGAAGAUGGAGAUCGUAUUUGUUCUCUCCAUCUCUGUAGGCACCGCACCUGGAACCAAGGUCUAGCUUAAACUUU